CAGUGAUAAACUGGAGGAAGGUGGGGAUGACGUCAAGUCAUCAUGGCCCUUACGACCAGGGCUACACACGUGCUACAAUGGCGCAUACAAAGAGAAGCGACCUCGCGAGAGCAAGCGGACCUCAUAAAGUGCGUCGUAGUCCGGAUUGGAGUCUGCAACUCGACUCCAUGAAGUCGGAAUCGCUAGUAAUCGUGGAUCAGAAUGCCACGGUGAAUACGUUCCCGGGCCUUGUACACACCGCCCGUCACACCAUGG
rnacentral:rRNA from 1 species